AGCGAUGUCUCCUUGUUAAGGGGGAAAUCAAACCGCAACGCCGCCGCCUUCCCACACAACUUACGCAAUGACCAGUUCCUGCACCGAGGUCUUCAAGUACUACACCACUAAAGCACCGGAGUUUUAUACCACAACUUAUGCUGCCCCGAGGCACUACACUGAAGCCCUGAAGUAUUACUCUGCCCUGAGUUACUACACAAUCUAGGCGAUGGAGUGCUACAUGACUACGUAUGCUGCCCAUCCUACUACACCGAGGCAUCCAAGUGCUACACCGAGGCUCCCGAUGAUUACUCCACCGAAGCGGCAAAGUACUUCUCUGCCCUGAUCUACACAACCACAACUGAGGCGGUCAAGUAUUACGCAGUCCCGAGUUGCUACCCAAAAGCUUUCGUGCUACGUUGAACAGAAAUACUACACUGAUGCUCCAGUCUACUACACCACGACCUACGCUACACCUAGCUACAACACGGCAGCUCCCAAGUACUACACCGAAGAAGCCGCCUAUUACACAACUACCUACGCUGCCUAGUUUACUACAUCGAGGAAUGUAAGUAUUACCCUGCUCCAAACUACUACCAAACUGAGGUUCAUAUUUAUUGCAAUUCUCCCGAUUAUGUCACCACUACGCACGCUGCUCCGACCUUUACACCGAAUUUAUGAAGUAUUUCUCUGGAUGUGUUGAAAGAUUGCUGGAAUACAAAAUUGAUUGAUAAAUCACAA